UACGAAGGGGGAGCUAGCGUUGCUCGGAAUCACUGGGCGUAAAGCGCACGUAGGCGGAUUGUUAAGUCAGGGGUGAAAUCCUGGAGCUCAACUCCAGAACUGCCUUUGAUACUGAGAAGCUUGAGUCCGGGAGAGGUGAGUGGAACUGCGAGUGUAGAGGUGAAAUUCGUAGAUAUUCGCAAGAACACCAGUGGCGAAGGCGGCUCACUGGCCCGGUACUGACGCUGAGGUGCGAAAGCGUGGGGAGCAAACAGG
rnacentral:rRNA from 1 species